CUGCUAGACUGCUGCAAGCUUUCAAUAGUCGACUCCGUAAUAUGCACACAAGGGAUGGCAUGCGAGAACCACGUGGUUAUUAUCUAGCGUAGUAACAUGAGAGAAAGUCUGACAACUAGUCUCCUGCAGUUCAUUGACCAUGGCACCUACCAAAAUUGGAGAUGUGGAGAUCGAGCGCCCAAGGUCGUGUACCCAAGACUGAUGUCAUACCAUACUGAACUGCUUACGUAGUAGUUAUAAGUAAACUUGUAUUAUGCAACACCCAAACCACGUGCGAAAGAUAUCAUAACCUGAAUUCAGUGGAUUUGAUUCAUUAGUAAACAUACGGCUGGACAGCUUGGCCAUGGCUUGGCGAUUAGUGUUAUUAAGUUCUCAAUAGUUCAUAUUGGAAUGAUGGCAAGCUGUAAACUGACCCAUCAUGGACGGACUAUUAAGGAUUAAAUGAUGCUUUCAUACAGUGCCUGAAAAUUAUCUACCAGUUGCAACGAAGAUUUUAAUUUGAAAUGAAAGUGAAACAUGAGGUGUGGGACCUCAUCAACAAUAGAGAUCCUAUCGAAUUGCUUGCUGAGAUAAUGAUUAAAAUCUUUUUAGGGUUCAUCUGACAGAUGAAUAAGAAGAUCUUUUACUUAUUUGUGAUAAAUCAUCAGAAAAUUUAGCAGUAAAGCAAUGGCUGGCUAAGUUAGAAAGAUGACCGAAUCGCGAGGUGAGGCGUCAUCAGGGCUGGGAUCUCGAAUUCCACCAUUUUGUGGCAACUGACGUAGACGCAUAGCUUGAAAGUACCCAAGCUCAGGCCUCCUAUCACGACCCUCUACCAUAUCCUUCACCUGGUGACCUGUGAAGAAUGGACGACAACGGCAUUCUUCUCAGCUAGACUAUCACGAGUGUGAUGGAUAUCGUCCAGCGAUAUGCCUCGACUGGCAUCAUCCACCAAAAUCGUUCGAUAGCCAUGUUCCAACGAAUGGUUGGCCGUCGCUCCUUGAAAAAUAACCAAUUCAUUGGAUGCUUUCGUCUCACCAUCGCAGUCUGCUUGAUUCGAACGCCAUAUUUUACUUACCGACACAAACAUCAUAGGCUAAUCCACAAACGUACAGGUUCUAGACGUGGGAACUCUGACUGUUUCAAUAAUGCGCAUCGAACUGAAGAUUUAAAACAAAAUAGACUUACGGGUUUAAUCCAUUGCUUCCAGCAGAAGGAAAACUCUUGGAAAUCCACAUAUCCAUCCUGUAAAAGACGUCAAACAUUUCUUGCAAUCGACUAUCCUCUAUGGCAUAAGCUUUUCCUUGUUCAUUACGGAAGAGAGUACGACACAAGGCAGCAAAGUCGGACAGCGUCAUCAAACCGUCACUGCAACAACAAACGCAUUGAAUGACAGACUGGAUAAAGGGAAUACUUUCAAACUAGUGACGUCAGUGCUAGCUUGGAUCGACCUUCACACGACCCGACCCGAAACUAGCCCGGCUGGUGUAAAAAGCCAAUUCACGGCUUGUAAUUUGAACGCUUCCAUGUUUGAAAGAAAACUGUCUUUGAUGUCGACCACGGCUGGAUGUUGUUCUUGAUCCAGCAAUUCAACCAACUGUCCUUCGUCUGAGGCGGCGGCGAUCAGGUCACUGCUGCUGCUGCUGCACUGUUCGGCC